GCUCUUGUUAAGGCAGAUGAUUUAACGUGAGAUCUUUUAAAAAAUGGGUUAAAUCCUGAUCUGAAGAAUGACAUCUGCAAUUACACCACCCCCGUUACCAGUCCUCAUUCUUCAGUGAUAAGCUGACCACUGGCAGAGGUCAGGAGGAACUCCUCUUCCCCAUGGCUUCUGAGGCAUUGGAGACGGGACUGAACCAAUACUUUGACUCUUCACUUUGGGGACAUUCGGAUCUGGAUUCAAACUUUGGGACUGGCUCAUGCAUCUGUGACUGGCUGAACUGAACACCCCAGAAUUCUAAUCUGGUCGUGAACUUCACAGCUCAGGCCCAUCUCUGAUACAUAUUAAGAUAUAAGUAGCUCCCAAUUGGCCUUGCCAAAAGAUGUAAAAAGACAGGUCCCUGCCCCAAGGAGCUCCUAUUCUGAUGACAAGAACUGAGGGACUGAAGCAUUUGAGGAACAAUAAGUAACAAUACGGGCAGAAGAAAAGCCCUUGGGAGAGUGUCCCAUUAAUGGGUGGCUGGGCUAAUCAGAGGAUGAUUGCAGAAUUCACAAGGUUGUUCGGUCCCCUGGCCUGACCUACAAACAAUGGAAAAAACCUCCUCCAGCCGGUGUCCUGGAGGGCAUGUCAAUAAAGGCAAUAAAUGCCGCUGUGUGAGCUGCAACUGCAUAUGUCUCACUGGAUUAGGGCCAGCCCCAGGAGUUGUUUAUGCUAAUGGAGCUAAUCUCUGUAAUCUUGUCACACAAAUGUCUCCUCACUGCUGGCAGAGGGGCAGCGAUUUGGGAUUAUAUGCAGAUGACAUCAUACAUGCUCCUCCACCUUCGUGCAAUGGGAAAGGGGCACAUGUAGGGGAUGGGAGUGAUACCCUAUGGAUUUAGCUCUGGGAGAGGGUGAUAUAUCAUCCUGCGAGCUGAGGAAGAGAUCUCCAAGAUGAUAGGGGAGCUAUGGAGAGCGGUGCUGCAAGUUUCAACUGUGCUGACCUGCCCCACCCUGACCUGAAGGAAUUAACUUGAGGGGAUGAGGGGCAGUUCAUGGUCUAGUCAACAAUUGUCCUCUUUGCUCAAAGAGCCCAAGGAUGCCAAUUAUAGUGCCAGUUGUGAUGGACUGUAACAGGCUGGCAGUGUUUGCCUGGAAACCCUAUCCUGUUAGCAGAAGUUAAUCCUGCUGAAAAAGGGUUAAGUCGGUUCUGCUGACUAACUGAGGCAAGUGGCUAGUUAUGCACCUGGACAUAAAGGGGGUGGGAGUGGCUCUCUGGGAACUAGGGUGUGGGCUGACCAGUCUUGAAGAAGGAACCAAACCCGAACAGAAGGGUUGGGCUGAACUUUUCUGAUGUUAGUUCUUUGUUAAUAAAGCCAGAUGCCAGAGGAGGGGAUGGGUUUGGACUCAACACAGAGUGUGGACUUUCUUUCAAAGCACCUGUUCAU